UACGAAGGGGGCUAGCGUUGCUCGGAAUCACUGGGCGUAAAGCGCACGUAGGCGGAUCUUUAAGUCAGGGGUGAAAUCCUGGAGCUCAACUCCAGAACUGCCUUUGAUACUGGGGAUCUCGAGUCCGGAAGAGGUGAGUGGAACUCCGAGUGUAGAGGUGAAAUUCGUAGAUAUCUGGAGGAACACCGGUGGCGAAGGCGGCAUCCUGGACCGGCAUUGACGCUGAGGAGCGAAAGCCAGGGGAGCAAACGGG
rnacentral:rRNA from 1 species